rnacentral:rRNA from 1 species
UACAGAGGGUGCGAGCGUUAAUCGGAAUGACUGGGCGUAAAGGGUGCGUAGGUGGCGAGGUAAGUCGGAUGUGAAAGCUCGGAGCUCAACUCCGAAAUGGCAUUGGAAACUACCUUGCUCGAGGGUUGGAGGGGGGACUGGAAUACUUGGUGUAGCAGUGAAAUGCGUAGAUAUCAAGUGGAACACCAGUGGCGAAGG